rnacentral:rRNA from 1 species
CCUACGGGAGGCAGCAGUAGGGAAUAUUGCACCAUGGGCGAAUGCCUGAUGCAGCAACGCCGCGUGAGUGAAGAAGGCCUUCGGGUCGUAAAACUCUUUUCAAGGGAAAGAGGAAGGACGGUACCCUUGGAAUAAGCAUCGGCUAACUACGUGCCAGCAGCCGCGGUAACACGUAGGAUGCGAGCGUUAUUCGGAUUUACUGGGCGUAAAGCGCGUGUAGGCGGUUAGGAGAGUUGGAUGUGAAAGCUCCCGGCUUAACUGGGAGAGGUCGUUCUAAACUUCCUGACUAGAGUUUGGUAGAGGAAAAUGGAAUUCCGGGUGUAGUGGUGAAAUGCGUAGAUAUCCGGAGGAACACCAGUGGCGAAAGCGAUUUUCUGGACCGAUACUGACGCUCAGACGCGAAAGCUAGGGUAGCAGACGGGAUUAGAGACCCCGGUAGUCCUAGCUGUAAACGAUGUAGACUUGGCGUUGGGAGAGUAAAAUCAUCCAGUGCCGAAGCAAACGCGAUAAGUCUACCGCCUGGGGAGUACGGCCGCAAGGUUAAAACUCAAAGGAAUUGACGGGGCCCCGCACAAGCAGCGGAGCGUGUGGCUUAAUUCGAUGCUACACGAAGAACCUUACCAGGGUUUGACAUAUAAGUGGUAGGGAAGGGAAACCGGACCGACCCUUCGGGGAGCUAUGAG